AUUGAACGCUGGCGGCAUGCCUUACACAUGCAAGUCGAACGGCAGCGCGGGGCAACCUGGCGGCGAGUGGCGAACGGGUGAGUAAUAUAUCGGAACGUGCCCUGGAGUGGGGGAUAACGUAGCGAAAGUUACGCUAAUACCGCAUACGAUCCAAGGAUGAAAGCAGGGGACCUUCGGGCCUUGUGCUCCUGGAGCGGCCGAUAUCUGAUUAGCUAGUUGGUGGGGUAAAAGCCUACCAAGGCGACGAUCAGUAGCUGGUCUGAGAGGACGACCAGCCACACUGGAACUGAGACACGGUCCAGACUCCUACGGGAGGCAGCAGUGGGGGAAUUUUGGACAAUGGGGGGCAACCCUGAUCCAGCAAUGCCGCGUGAGUGAAGAAGGCCUUCGGUUGUAAGACUCCUUUUGUUCUAGGGAAGAAACGGUAGAGGG
rnacentral:rRNA from 1 species